UGGGGAAUAUUGGACAAUGGGCGAAAGCCUGAUCCAGCCAUGCCGCGUGUGUGAAGAAGGUCUUCGGAUUGUAAAGCACUUUAAGUUGGGAGGAAGGGCAGUAAAUUAAUACUUUGCUGUUUUGACGUUACCGACAGAAUAAGCACCGGCUAACUCUGUGCCAGCAGCCGCGGUAAUACAGAGGGUGCAAGCGUUAAUCGGAAUUACUGGGCGUAAAGCGCGCGUAGGUG
rnacentral:rRNA from 1 species